AAGCUACACAUCAAAGUGUCUUGUCUCUUGAAAAAGAUCAAAUUUUUAAAAUAAUUAAGCUUUUAUUUAUUUUUACUUUUAUUUAUUUUGUCAAAUAGCAUUCUUCAUUUCCAAAAUGACUUUUUUUCAUUUUCUGUUAAUUUAUUAGCAGUUUAAUGUAGUUUAGCAUCAACAAGAAUGUUUCAGUUUAUGAAACAUGUUAUCUUAAGACGUUUUGCAUGUAAUUCAAAAUCAUUCGUCAUGUAUUUUUAGCUUUAUUUGCUCCUUAUUUGGGUGACUCACACUUUCUGUCAAACUAUUUCAUUGGUUAAAUGCAGUCAGUGUUGGAAAUUUUCACUCAUUUACAUUUUUUAAUUGGUCAAUUUUUUGAUUUUUUUUUUAAUAAUUAUGAUUGUUGUUGCAAAUGAAAAUCUCCAAACUUUUAAUAAUUCUUUUUGGCUCCAACCACUUCCUGUUGACCGGCCGCAGCGGUCCUGUAUGGUAAAGAGCUUUAAAUUGAUAACAUUUUUAACUAAUUUUUGACUCUAUGGCUACAUUUUAAAAAAAAGAAAUUUGAUUCUGAAAGUGUUUUUAUUCUGUUUUUUUAAAAUGAUGAUAACAAUGAACUUCUGCUUAGAGUUUCCCUGCAGGUCAUCUCUGCUGUCCUGAAGUUUCCUCCAGCUGAAGCUGUGAGUUUGGAGAGCUGAAGUAAUAAAUCACUGCUCUUCAUCUCUGUGUUUGUGAGGGAAACACAAGACAAGCAGAGAGCACCCAGAGGACGCAGCGAGGGGCCGUCAGCCCCCACCGGGCCCCCGCUUCCGGACGGAUGGAUGGAGGGAUCGUGUUGACAAGCGGGAAAGACAAAGAGGAGGAGGAGGAGAGGCAGCCACACGUUCGGCGGGGAGGCUGAGAGCUCCGGCCAGAAACUCAUCAAAGAGGUGGAAGCGCCUCCAAGGGCUCAGCAGCAGCAGCAGGACGUGCAUGUGUGCGUGCAUGUGAGGGAAGCUUCCUUCAACCACAGCAGCUCCUGAACGCCACACGGCGGUGAGUGAUGACAGAGCUGCUCCUCUUCUUCUGCUUCAGGUAACUUCACCUUCUCGUCCGCACGCUGCGUGCACGUCACAGCUGCUGUCGGCGCCGCUCAGGAACAUUUUUCUGCAUCAGCUGCGAGGAGCUUCAUGGAAUCCAACGGAACGUUGAAGGUUACAUCCAGAAGUUUCUCUUGAAGCUGCUCCAAUGUGAUAGAGGAAAACACCCUGAUCAUGAAAGAAUCUAAAGUCAUUCUGGUUUUGGAAGUUCUGCUUUCAAGGAGCCAAACUUUAUUAUUUUUUUUUAUUUUAGAGCUAUUUUUUUACAUUUUAAGGACUUUAAAAGUUUAAAUGAGUGAUCUAACUCCUAACGGCUUUGCAGAUGAGUGGGCGUGGCCUUUGAGUGGACGCCCGUUGCCCGAGCAUCUGCCUCCUCAGCUUCUGCCAUCAGGACUGGACCAGGUUCAGUUCAAGGGUUCAGGGCCAAGAACCAAAUCUGGGGGCGAGAUUGGCUGAAGUUCAGAGGGGAGAGGCGUGUCCGUGGUGAUAAGGCCGAGGCGGCUGGCGUUAGCGAGGCAGCGCUGCGUGAUCUCUCCCUGAAGCUUCAUCUGCAUCUCCACCAGGAACUCGUCCUGUCGGUCACACAAAACCACGAGACCAUCAGAACAGGAUUCUCUGAUUCACACAGGCAAAAAUGUCAAAAUAAAGUUCCUUUAACGUCCCACCAGAAGCAGGAGUUAAAGUUCAGUCGGUGCCGUUGAUGAAAAGACAUUUCAAGAUGUUUUUGUGGACGAGGGAGUUCAGGAGAGAUGUAGGAGGGCCUAACUCAGGAGUAAUCCAGUGUAUCCUUCCGCUCGAAUAUGUCAACACAAGAAAUAGGUCCAAGUGUUUAUUUUUUGUGCUCUAUUGAUUAUUAUUAAAAUAAUUGUUUAAAAAAAUGCAAGAAAAA